UCUAUGGAAGUUUAGAGCACUUUUACAAUUACGAAGUCUGGAAUGUAUAAUCUGAAAUUUACGUUCUCCAUAGUAACAUCUUACUGACAUCAAUAAAUACAAAAAUAUGACUAAGUCGAAAGUCAACAAGACGGUAUACAAGCCAAAAUGCAAGUCGAAAAUAAGAAAUUAGGAAAAAAACGAGGGGCGCUAUUAUCGCAGUGUAUUAUUUCUUGAUUUCCUAUUUUCGAGUCGAUUUUGGCUUGUAUAGCGUUGCUGUCGCCUCACAUUUUGUCGUAACUGCUACUUUUCGACUUUCGUGUUUUGGAGGGCGAAAAGUAGAAAUUAAGAAUGGUAGGCUUCUAUAGUUAGGCGUUUGUAUAUAUGACUGUAUACUUGACACAUGUACGACCUGAAUGGCUGAAUGGCCGGUAACCAAAUAUGUUAUUGUGAGUGUUAAACGACAUCGUAAUUAUUUUAUAUUUUGCAAAAAAAACAAACAACAAAAAACAAAACAAAAAAACACAAGCCGUGAUUGCCAUUACUACAAUACGGAUUACUAAAUAUACUUUGUGUUCAAUUUUAUAUUUUAAUACUGAAGACAGGGCCGGACUAUAAAUGAACAAGGCGGAUCCUUUUGGCUUAUAUUGAGUAAUUAUUGCAACGUGUUACAGUUGAAAGUUCCAAAGCAUUUUCACAUUCCAUGUCCGAUAAAUUUAAUCAUCAUGCAACUACUGAUUGGUGGGUCGUCGAAACAUUUAGAUGCAUACAUCACAGCAAUAGAGAAAUAGGUCAAAUAUGGCGACAAUGAUCAACUUGCUCUUCUUCUACUAAAUUAAAGAUUCGUGUGGAGAUUCUGUCGAUAUAAUCAUAUAUUUAUAUCUGCUCUUUCUUAAAAUGGAGACGGUGCCAGGGCAAUGUUUCAUAGAGUGGAAUGAUUGACCUCAACACAAGUAUUAAAAAAAAAGAAGCAAAACAGGUCUACAUCUCAAAACCUGAUCUCUUCCUGGACUGGCUUUAGGAGAACGAUGAUGCAUAUCAAUUUCAUCCCUGAUCUCUAUGACACCUGUGGUGGAAGUGGAGGGCAAAUCGUAAUCAGUUUGGGUUCCAGCCCCGAGGACCUCUGUAAACUUUGCUUUUUGGUGAUGACUUAAUUUCCGAGCUUGAAAAGGACGCUUGUGUGUUUAUCAUGGCCUCUCAUAUUGGACGAUAACAUUAAUGGCUUGUGUGUUGAUCGACGAUUGUGCAUAUCUCUUGGUCAGGAAAGUUGUAGGCACCAUCGCCAUUGUAAAUCAUUUGACAGGCCCGAGUGAACCUAUGAUUGGUCAGCAAUGUAUCAGAUUCCAUACCGGGGGGUGGGGAUGAAAAAACUGUUGUAGUGUUACAUAAUCAGAUUAUUUCAACUUACUUAUCCUGUGGAAAUACAGCUAUAUAGGAGAUAUUUUGAAAUUCAUAGGCACUGCAUGUUUCAACAUUUUAGAUUUGACCACAAUCUGGCACUUGAAACUAUGUUAACAGAGAAAAACUGUGUGGUUUUCGAUGAAAGUGUUAAAAGUCUAAUAUUGCAUCAUGAUUACUGUUUUAAAGUGCCAGGGCAAUGUUUCAUAGAGUGGAAUGAUUGACCUCAACACAAGUAUUAAAAAAAAAAGAAGCAAAACAGGUCUACAUCUCAAAACCUGAUCUCUUCCUGGACUGGCUUUAGGAGAACGAUGAUGCAUAUCAAUUUCAUCCCUGAUCUCUAUGACACCUGUGGUGGAAGUGGAGGGCAAAUCGUAAUCAGUUUGGGUUCCAGCCCCGAGGACCUCUGUAAACUUUGCUUUUUGGUGAUGACUUAAUUUCCGAGCUUGAAAAGGACGCUUGUGUGUUUAUCAUGGCCUCUCAUAUUGGAAGAUAACAUUAAUGGCUUGUGUGUUGAUCGACGGUUGUGCAUAUCUCUUGGUCAGGAAAGUUGUAAGCACCAUCGCCAUUGUAAAUCAUUUGACAGGCCCGAGUGAACGGGGCGACCUAUGAUUGGUCAGCAAUGUAUCAGAUUCCAUACCGGGGGAGGGGGAUGAAAAAAAAUGUUGUAGUGUUACAUAAUCAGAUUAUUUCAACUUACUUAUCCUGUGGAAAUACAGCUAUAUAGGAGAUAUUUUGAAAUUCAUAGGCACUGCAUGUUUCAACAUUUUAGAUUUGACCACAAUUUGGCACUUGAAACUAUGUUAACAGAGAAAAACUGUGUGGUUUUCGAUGAAAGUGUUAAAAGUCUAAUAUUGCAUCAUGAUUACUGUUUUAAAGUAUUUUCCUGUUUGAUUUAUAUUGAAUUCAUCUCAUCUUUUUGAAGAAUGCAUUUAUGUUCAAAAAUAAAAAUGUUCUGUGGAAUUCAAAAUUCAUGUGCUUUUAAAUUAUCAGAUUCCAAACUGGGGGGUAGGGAUGAAAAAGCUGUUGUAGUGUUACAUAAUCAGAUUAUUUCAACUUACUUAUCCUAUGGAAAUACAGCUAUAUAGGAGAUAUUUUAAAAUUGAUAGGCACUGCAUGUUUCAACAUUUUAGAUUUGACCACAAUUUGGCACUUGAAACUACGUUAACAGAGAAAAACUGUGUGGUUUUCGAUGAAAGUGUUAAAAAGUCUAAUAUUGCAUCAUGAUUACUGUUUUAAAGUAUUUUCGUGUUUGAUUUAUAUUGAAUUGUAUUUAGAAAACGGAGGAAACCGAAUGACCCAGCGAAAAAACUCAAGAGAUUGGACAGGCGACUCUACUCCUUGAAAUUGAAACCAUGCCACUUAACACAAUGACAGACCCUGUGAUUUCAUGCGCAUGCAUUACCUACUAGACCAUUCCCCCCAGCCCCACCCCAUAUCGAAUAAAAUUUCAAUAUUGGAUGUAUAUGCAAAUCACCCAGAAAAAGAUCAUGUAAUAACAAAAGAAAUUAUAAAAGAAAAAAAGGAAGAAGAAAUGGCUGGAAAAAAUGAUGAUAGAGCAGCUUUUUCUUGUUACCCACCUCGGAAGAUCAAGUUGGAAAGGGCUAUUGAUAUUGUGGAGACGUUUUCUCACAGAUCUUGCUUAUCAGACAAAGACUAUGCUGGAACACCAUUGAAAGAGUAUUUGCUGUAUGAUAACAACAAGAAAACCCAAGCAUCAAUUUAUUUUAUACUUCUGGGAAAGAAUGCAUUUGACCCAAUUUUUAAAUAUUUAUUUUUUGUUAUUAAUGUUAAAUUUUCUUCCAAAACACAAUUAGAUUUUAAUUCUCUUCAGAAAUGUAUGUAUAAUAUAGCAAGUAAAGUGUCAUAUAAAUCACUUAGAAUUUGGUCAGAAAUCAUAAAGUAUUUAAUAGGCAUUACUAGAAACCAAAUGUAGAUCAAAUACACCCAGAAUUACAAAAAACCUUGACCUACAUAAAGGUGACUUUCCCUUGCUUAUGAAAUGAAAUACGGUUUAGUAUCCUACUUUUCUGUGUUCUUAGAGUGAUUCUGCCCUACACCCUACUCUUAUAUCAAAUAUUUCAACUGUCAAGGGUUCUUUAACGGGAACCCGGGGGGGGGGGCAAUGAUUAACACGCACACAUUUGAUCGGGAAAUCUGUCAUU